UUUUUAUAAUUUGAAGUAAUAUUAAAUUGAUUCUUAUUUUUUUAAAAAUAAAGUUGUAUUUUCAUGAAUCAAUAUCUGCAGUUGUGAAUGUUGAUUGUAUUUAAUUUAGUAAAUCUGGGGAUCUUGUUCGAAAUUGGUGAUGGGUUGGUAUUGAAUUGAGCUAAUAAUCACUCGUUAUAUGGAAUUGAUUGGUUGAUGUUUUAAGAUGUAGAGAGAAAUUAAGUUAAGGCCUGUGAGCGAGGGGGUAUUAUUGAGUGAUUUAUCCUCGGGUAUUGUAGGUGAAAUGUAACAAUGAGGAAAAUGUUGCUGGGAUCGCUUUUGACACAGCAUUAAGAUUAGUUAAUCUGAACAUGCAUCUAAAAAAGGCUAAUGUCAUUAGCCUGAUUUAGUUCUCUUGUUGCAAGUUUAUUACUCCAUGUAUAUCUUUUAAUCAACAACAACCAUUGCGAAUUGCUAAAGUUGUAUCUCAAAUUGCCAAUGUUGUCUCUAGCUCAUUAAAGCUUUAGAAUACAGUUGGAUAUUACACCUUGUAAUAUAAUUACUUUUAUUUUUAUUUUUAUGUAAGAUUGAUCUGGAUAGUUCCUUUCACAAUAUUAAUGUUGAGAAUUUUCUAAGUGAGUGGUUGAUCACUUGAGUUAAAAGGUUUUAGUUGAGUUUAAUGAGAUAGUUAGCCUAACCUUAAUGUUCACUCUCAUUUUGUAUCUUAUUUGAGCGAGAUGUAGUGGGGGAAUUUAGUAAUUUGCUUUGGAGAAGUUAGUCAUCCUUUCUUGCAAGAACGUAACAAGUGUCAUGCUUCAAUCUCUUAUUUGGUUAAGAUUAGUUGGUGAUUGUUAUAGAAGCCUGUGCUCCUGGAGGUCUCUUAUAUUUUGAGUUCUAACUUCUAAGGGUAUAGAGGAAAGCAGGGUAAUGCUCAUCCUUUGUUUACAUGUAAUAUCCACAGUUUUGAUUUACAAUUUGUGAAGUGGGAAGCAUUUUGUGGUGAUGCAGAUUUCUAGAAAGGGGUACUUAACUACUUAUAGAUGUUCUGCAAAUUGAAUGAGAAUUGUAGCACUCUAUAUUAUUUUGGUUUUGGUCUCAGUUUACUGUCUUAUUGGUGUUCUAUGUUGUUUAUUUUCCUUUUCACAUGUUUGAAAUGGGAAGUCUUUAUCCAAAUCUUAAGAAAGGGUUUGUUCACUUAACCUUCAACAUGAUAGAGGAGGCUUGUCUUCAGAGAGGCUUGUGCUAAUGACAAUGCAGAUCAGAACCAAAACAACUCCGUCCACUGUCUUGAUCCUAAGUUCUACUCCAAGAUGAAAACACAUUAAUUGUGCUGAUCAAACAAAGGUGAAGAGCAGUUUCGACUUUGAAGUAGAUUCAAGCUCCAACAAUAAUUCACCACCUGCUACAAUUGAUAACUAAGACAUAUUCUUUCGUGCAUUAUCAAGUGUAGUUAUUGAGUCUUACAUCACUGUUCCUCUGUGUAUACUUGGAGCAAAGGUUAUUGCGGUGCAUUGUGUCAUGGAGAUGAGAUCGAAAAGAAAACUACAACUCUUGUAAGCAGCCUGAAGAAUCAUCUCGCUGUGCAGCAGUCCUGUCUCUGUUCAUUUUGGCAAGAGUGGACUUCAGUUGACUUUUUUGUGCUUGUAGUUUUCUUAUUGAGCGUGUGUUUGCUCAUUUGUUUGUUUGUUUGUUUUGGUAGUUGUACUAUAGAUUUUGGUUUUGUUUAUGUUUCUUGUUGGUUUGUGGGUGUUUUUUUUCCCCACCCUUGUAAAUACUUCUGUGGUUACCGUUACAUUUUUAAUUACCAAAAAGAGAAAAAAACACUUCCAUUGUAGGGUGGUCUAGGAACACAAUCAAGAGACAAUGUGCUCCUUAGAGUUUUUAAUCCACACUACUUGGCUUAACAUCUGAGUUUUUUAAUCCAAUCAAAGUUUUGCAGUGGACUCGCUUUGAAGGUUGAUUCUUUGAAACGGUUGUUAUCCUAGACAUCCCUUUGGGUCUUCUUAAAGGCACAAAAAGCAUUUUGUAGCACUUAUGCCCCUAAAAUCCUUUGUAUGCUAGCUUAUGAAUGCAGUUAAUUAGGAAAGUUCGUUUAUUAGAUGUUAAGUUAAUGGUAUGGAAACGUUUUAGAGGAACCUAUAUAUUCCUUGAAAAAGCCUACAAGUCCUAUUGCAAUACACAAAUGUGUAUUAUGUUUAUA